AGUGAACGCUGGCGGUAGGCCUAACACAUGCAAGUCGAACGGCAGCACAGUAAGAGCUUGCUCUUACGGGUGGCGAGUGGCGGACGGGUGAGGAAUACAUCGGAAUCUACUUUUUCGUGGGGGAUAACGUAGGGAAACUUACGCUAAUACCGCAUACGACCUACGGGUGAAAGCAGGGGAUCUUCGGACCUUGCGCGAUUGAAUGAGCCGAUGUCGGAUUAGCUAGUUGGCGGGGUAAAGGCCCACCAAGGCGACGAUCCGUAGCUGGUCUGAGAGGAUGAUCAGCCACACUGGAAAUGAGACACGGGCCAGACUCCUACGGGAGGCAGCAGUGGGGAAAAUUGGACAAAGGGCGGAAGCCUGAUCCAGCCAUACCGCGUGGGUGAAGAAGGCCUUCGGGUUGUAAAGCCCUUUUGUUGGGAAAGAAAAGCAGCAGGUUAAUACCCCGCUGUUCUGACGGUACCCAAAGAAUAAGCACCGGCUAACUUCGUG
rnacentral:rRNA from 1 species